GAUGAACGCUGGCGGCGUGCCUAAUACAUGCAAGUCGAGCGAACGGACGAGAAGCUUGCUUCUCUGAUGUUAGCGGCGGACGGGUGAGUAACACGUGGAUAACCUACCUAUAAGACUGGGAUAACUUCGGGAAACCGGAGCUAAUACCGGAUAAUAUUUUGAACCGCAUGGUUCAAAAGUGAAAGACGGUCCUGCUGUCACUUAUAGAUGGAUCCGCGCUGCAUUAGCUAGUUGGUAAGGUAACGGCUUACCAAGGCAACGAUGCAUAGCCGACCUGAGAGGGUGAUCGGCCACACUGGAACUGAGACACGGUCCAGACUCCUACGGGAGGCAGCAGUAGGGAAUCUUCCGCAAUGGUCGAAAGCCUGACGGAGCAACGCCGCGUGAGUGAUGAAGGUCUUCGGAUCGUAAAACUCUGUUAUUAGGGAAGAACAUAUGUGUAAGUAACUGUGCACAUCUUGACGGUACCUAAUCAGAAAGCCACGGCUAACUACGUG
rnacentral:rRNA from 1 species